rnacentral:tRNA from 1 species
GCGAUAGUAGUCUAGAGGUAUGAUUUCGCCUUGCCAAGGCGAGGGCCCGGGUUCGAUUCCCGGCUAUCGCA